rnacentral:misc_RNA from 1 species
GGGCGGGAGUAACUAUGACUCUCUUAAGGU